GCUUGAAUAACAAGAAGGUAGAGAUUGGAGAAACUAUAGCAGAAAAGAUCCUUGAGUUGCAACCUGAAGACAUAGGUGUCCUUGCGCUGGUCUCAAAUCUCUAUGCUGCUGCAAAGAAGUGGGACAAGGUCAGGGAGGUUAGGAAGCUAAUGAAGAAUAGCGGCAGCAGGAAAAUACCUGGCUAUAGCUUGGUCGAGGUGCGUGGAACACGUCACUCGUUUGUGAUGGAAGACCAGAGCCACCCUCAGCACCAGGAGAUCCUGAAAAUGGUCGCGAAGCUUGAUUCCGAGAUGAAG
rnacentral:lncRNA from 1 species